rnacentral:rRNA from 1 species
CACUCCUACGGGAGGCAGCAGUGGGGAAUAUUGGACAAUGGGCGCAAGCCUGAUCCAGCCAUGCCGCGUGAGUGAUGAAGGCCCUAGGGUUGUAAAGCUCUUUCACCGGUGAAGAUAAUGACGGUAACCGGAGAAGAAGCCCCGGCUAACUUCGUGCCAGCAGCCGCGGUAAUACGAAGGGGGCUAGCGUUGUUCGGAUUUACUGGGCGUAAAGCGCACGUAGGCGGACUAUUAAGUCAGGGGUGAAAUCCCGGGGCUCAACCCCGGAACUGCCUUUGAUACUGGUAGUCUUGAGUUCGAGAGAGGUGAGUGGAAUUCCGAGUGUAGAGGUGAAAUUCGUAGAUAUUCGGAGGAACACCAGUGGCGAAGGCGGCUCACUGGCUCGAUACUGACGCUGAGGUGCGAAAGCGUGGGGAGCAAACAGGAUUAGAUACCCUAGUAGUCCCAUG